CAGCAAUGACAACGUUCUUCACUGAUCUCCGCUGACUGAAGAGACGGCUCACCAUUGACACGACUCGCAAGGGAACAGCAACUUUUCUGCUCGGCUGAUUCACCAUUAUUUCGGUGCCGAGGCUGUGCAAGUCUUCUGGAAUGAUCACCCAGGUGCUCCCUGUCACCACAGUGUGAUCAAAAUGCGGCGCAGAACCUGCAAACACCAAGCUCUGUUUACUCAGAUAAAUUACAGAGACGUGCAGGUUGCUCAAAGUAAAGUGCAACUUGUAACUUGCACUCACUUUUUUAAGCGUAUG